rnacentral:ncRNA from 4 species
UCCGUAGGUGAACCUGCGGAGGGAUCAUUACCGAGUUUACAACUCCCAAACCCAAUGUGAACCAUACCAAACUGUUGCCUCGGCGGGGUCACGCCCCGGGUGCGUCGCAGCCCCGGAACCAGGCGCCCGCCGGAGGGACCAACCAAACUCUUUUCUGUAGUCCCCUCGCGGACGUUAUUUCUUACAGCUCUGAGCAAAAAUUCAAAAUGAAUCAAAACUUUCAACAACGGAUCUCUUGGUUCUGGCAUCGAUGAAGAACGCAGCGAAAUGCGAUAAGUAAUGUGAAUUGCAGAAUUCAGUGAAUCAUCGAAUCUUUGAACGCACAUUGCGCCCGCCAGUAUUCUGGCGGGCAUGCCUGUCCGAGCGUCAUUUCAACCCUCGAACCCCUCCGGGGGGUCGGCGUUGGGGACCUCGGGAGCCCCUAAGACGGGAUCCCGGCCCCGAAAUACAGUGGCGGUCUCGCCGCAGCCUCUCCUGCGCAGUAGUUUGCACAACUCGCACCGGGAGCGCGGCGCGUCCACGUCCGUAAAACACCCAACUUCUGAAAUGUUGACCUCGGAUCAGGUAGGAAUACCCGCUGAACUUAAGCAUAUCAAUAAGCGGAGGA